rnacentral:lncRNA from 1 species
AAAAACUGUUAAUUAUUAAGAUGAGUCUAACAAAUAAAAUUAAGAGUAACAUAAAAACAACAGUACGAUGAAACAACCUCGUAUAUAUAGUUUAAGCUUAUGAAGAACAUACCAAUUGUAAUUGGAGCUUAGAUUCAUCCAAAUAUCCAAAAAUCUCAACAACAAAAAAAACAUCAUCAUGAUGAACCAAGAGAGUAUGAAGAAG